GAUGAACGCUGGCGGCGUGCCUAAUACAUGCAAGUCGAGCGAACGGACGAGAAGCUUGCUUCUCUGAUGUUAGCGGCGGACGGGUGAGUAACACGUGGAUAACCUACCUAUAAGACUGUGAUCACUUCGGGAAACCGGAGCUAAUACCGGAUAAUAUUUUGAACCGCAUGGUUCAAAAGUGAAAGACGGUCUUGCUGUCACUUAUAGAUGGAUCCGCGCUGCAUUAGCUAGUUGGUAAGGUAACGGCUUACCAAGGCAACGAUGCAUAGCAGACCUGAGAGGGAGACCGGCCACACUGGAACUGAGACACGGUCCAGACUCCUACGGGAGGCAGCAGUAGGGAAUCUUCCGCAAAGGGCGAAAGCCUGACGGAGCAACGCCGCGUGAGUGAUGAAGGUCUUCGGAUCGUAAAACUCUUUUAUUAGGGAAGAACAUAUGUGUAAUUAACUGUGCACAUCUUGACGGUACCUUAACAGAAAGCCACGGCUAACUACGUG
rnacentral:rRNA from 1 species